rnacentral:pre_miRNA from 1 species
GUUUUGGCUGGAGUUCCCUUGGCCACUUCAUUGAGUACUCAAUUUAGAGAAUAAUAUCCACUGAAGUGUUUGGGGGAACUCCUGUGGUUAC